rnacentral:pre_miRNA from 1 species
UAGCUACUCCCUCCGUUCGAAAUUACUCGUCGAAAAAAUGAAUGUAUUUAGAUGUAUUUUAGUUAUAGAUACAUCCAUUUUUGUGACAAGUAAUUCUGAACGGAGAAAGUAGCUG